CUCCCACUUACUUCCGCUGGUCUUCAGAUCUGGCAGCCUGAAAAUGAUGUCUCAGUUCUGCAGGCCUCUCCUUAGGGGGGGAGGUUGUGUCCCUUUACGGAAAGCCAACAUCCUCUGGGUCUGCAAACCAGGUUUCUUUAUUCCUCAUCUAUUUGGAGCAUUGAGGACUGCCGGGUCUUGAGGGAGCAGCUGCAUCACAAGAGGGGCUGAAGGAAUUCUGGAGGUUGCUGGCUCUUCGGGAGUUCCGUGUAUUCGGUAUGAUGAGGACGGAAAAAGGAUUGAAGAUUCCGACAAGAAUUGGGUGAAAACCAUCAUUCCCCCCUCCACUUUCAUAAUGAAUGUCGUUGAAUAUAUUUCAGAAGGAAAAUCGUUCUUCCUUGCUAACCAUUCAAAAGAAAGCACAUGAGGAAACAGAAGAAUUGGUAACGAUGUCUUGGAAUAACACAAGGAACCCUCUAGGAAUGAGUAAACUGUGCUGCACAUUUCACUUAGCAAAUUGAUAACUUCAGUAUAUUUCUUGUCUGAAUUAAAUGUAGUUCAGGGUUGUUCCAAUUAACAAAUGCUCAACUUUGACCUGAAUAGGAGGACACUUGCAAUAUGUACCGUAUUUUCUGGCUUAUAAGACGACCCCUGACUUCAGCGCUGAGUUGCAUGCCUAGAAAGUCGUCUUAUACGCGGGAAACUACCAUUAUUUCUGGUGUAUAAGACGACCCCCAACUUCGGCGCCGAUUGCUACGCCUUAGAAAGUUGUCUUAUACGCCGGAAUAUACAUACCUACUUAGUGAGCUGAGUUAAACCCGUGGGAUUGGCCUUAGGGGUAAAUCCGUUGGAUACUCGUGUCAAAACUUUGCAUAAAAUAAAAUAUGCACAGUACAUUUGGGAGUUCUUUUUGUACUCUUCAGCUGACCUGGCUCAAUUGGAGAUUUCUAUUCCUACCUUAAGACGUUUUCUUGCUUCUCAAUUUCACUGCAAAACUGAAUGAAUGUUUGCAAUUUAAACGCAGUCACUUAACAAGUGGACUUCAAAGACAAACUGUUAAAAUUGUCCUGCCAUGAAGUCAUUGAACGGGUGGAUCACAGCGUGAAUUUGGAGAGGGUUUAUUUAUGUUUAUUUUUAAAAAUAAGAAAAAGAGACAAAUCACAAAGAUCAAUUACUUCAUUGACCUUACAAGACGGCUCAGCCUAACUAACCUGGAGGAACGCGGACUAACCUAGAGGAGCACAACAAACUGACCGGCAUUGCAGGAUAGUCUAAAUUUUCUCGCAGAUCUGUUUGCAGUGUCAUACUUCAGCGACGCUAAGGGCACCAUCAUGUGAGAAAGUUUGAGAACCGCUGAUCCAGGGCUGCCAUUUUUUUGAUUCCCCACAUGGUCGUACAAGGCCAGCGUCAGCGUUCCCAGAGUCGAAUGAUAAAGCCUGUCUCAGCAAGUUCGUCCUUGUGUGAAUACAGCUAAUAGCAGUUUCUGGCACUCAAGCAGAAUGGAUUCGGAUUUACGACGCUGUGAUUCCCUUAAUGACUGCUGUCAAAACAGGUCUGGUCGUACGGAUGCCUCGACUUACGGCUGUCCCGACUUAGGGCCCAAAUUCCUGUCCCGAUUGCAGUGCUAAGUCGAGGACUUGCUGUAGCAUGUAAUGUUAGCGCUGAAAUGAAUUAGAACUCUCUUCCAAACGAUACACCAAGCUGCCCCGUCACCGUCUGCAUGUCAACGGGGAAGGGGCUGCUGAUAUCCUGAAGUCUUCCCAGGACGUCCUCGGUGCAGCUCGAUUAGGAUGUUUCUGGAGAAAGCAAAGCGGGAUCUCCAUCCUCAGUUAAGAGUGACUGUGAGCCAUAAGAAAAACUCCUAAUUCUUGGACGACGUCGUAAGGCAGGGGAUAAGGCUUGCAGGGACUCAAGGAAGAACCCAACCCUAUGCGCCUCUUAAAGAGCCGAGGUGGCGCAGCAGUUAGAGUGCAGUACUGCAGGCCACUUUAGCUGACUGUGUUCAGCAGGUCAGCGGUUCAAAUCUCACCGGCUCAAGGUUGACUCAGCCUUCCAUCCUUCCGGG